rnacentral:lncRNA from 1 species
UGGGGACUUUAUCAGAAUGAUCGGUCAAUAGCAUUCAUGCUAUAUAUUGACUACCUAUGGUAGUGGUGUGCUGGGCGUAGUCGGUAGUAGCCAGCUGCAUUCUUUAACAAAGAGAAAAAAAAUUUAUUACAGCUCAGUAAUUUAUUUUAGCUUAAUGAAAUUUUCUUUCAGAAAAACAAUAUACUCUAUGAUUUGUUCUUAUGUAGUUG